rnacentral:rRNA from 1 species
AGUGAACGCUGGCGGUAGGCCUAACACAUGCAAGUCGAACGGCAGCACAGUAAGAGCUUGCUCUUACGGGUGGCGAGUGGCGGACGGGUGAGGAAUAAAUCGGAAUCUACUUUUUCGUGGGGGAUAACGUAGGGAAACUUACGCUAAUACCGCAUACGACCUACGGGUGAAAGCAGGGGAUCUUCGGACCUUGCGCGAUUGAAUGAGCCGAUGUCGGAUUAGCUAGUUGGCGGGGUAAAGGCCCACCAAGGCGACGAUCCGUAGCUGGUCUGAGAGGAUGAUCAGCCACACUGGAACUGAGACACGGUCCAGACUCCUACGGGAGGCAGCAGUGGGGAAUAUUGGACAAUGGGCGCAAGCCUGAUCCAGCCAUACCGCGUGGGUGAAGAAGGCCUUCGGGUUGUAAAGCCCUUUUGUUGGGAAAGAAAAGCAGCAGGUUAAUACCCCGCUGUUCUGACGGUACCCAAUGAAUAAGCACCGGCUAACUUCGUG